AUACGGAGGGUGCGAGCGUUGUUCGGAAUUAUUGGGCGUAAAGAGCAUGUAGGCGGUCUGUUAAGUCUGGUGUGAAAGCCCGGGGCUCAACCCCGGAAGUGCAUUGGAUACUGGCAGACUUGAGUAUGCGAGAGGAAAGCGGAAUUCCGAGUGUAGGAGUGAAAUCCGUAGAUAUUCGGAGGAACACCAGUGGCGAAGGCGGCUUUCUGGACCAAUACUGACGCUGAGAUGCGAAAGCGUGGGGAGCAAACAGAAUUAGAAACCCUUGUAGUCC
rnacentral:rRNA from 1 species